UCACUCACCUUAACCCUAAACCCUUCCAACCGCCACACCCCCUUUCCCCCAAAUGCACACACAAAACACAAAAACACACACACACACACAGCAAGAGAAAGGGAAGAACGGAGAGGGAAAGAAAGGAAAAGAAAGGGGGAAGCUGGAAUCAGAGAGCAAGAGAAGGAGAGGGGGAAAAGGGAUGACGGCACCGGUGGACAUCACUGCUGCCGCGCCGUCGUGUCACCGUCAGGAAGGAGGAGACGUUGAGCGAGAGGAAGAGCUCCGCGAGGAAGGAGCACCGCUGUGCCUCCAUCGCCGCUGUCAGUUCGCGUUCUGCUGUCGCCGAGGGAAGCCGCCGCCGUCGUCGUCGUCUUCAUCGCGAGCGGGUCGUUGUCAGCUUCCACCGCCGUCGCAUCUCCCAUCAUGGACGACGCUGAGGACACACAAGAAAGACAGACGCGUGGAGAGAGGAAGACGGAGGAAAAAGGAGGAGGCACUGUUCGCCCUAUUGCGCCCAGUCGCCGUUUGUGGAGUCACCGUCGUCGCCGCUGUUAGGGGUUGCGUCACUGAGCCCCUGUCGCCGGAAAAUAGCACUACCUCGCCGGGAUUCACUGCCGGAGCUUCGGAUAGGAGGGAAGGGCAAGCUCAAGGGAGUUGAGGAGCAGCUAAGAUUGCUUAGGAGCUCUAUUGUCAUAACUAAAAAAUUUUCAGCCACUAACAUAACUUGCUUUAUAGAUGUAUGCAAAUCUGUCUUGUUUUGUUUAGAUGGAUGCAUGAGGUAGUGGAAUUGAGCCAUACCUAUAUUUGCAUAUCCGCAACAAGGAAUUUCCAUCGGGUAUAUGUCUCUCAUAGAAUGCUUUAAUCCGUGUGUCUAUGUAUAUUUGUUCUCUAAGCAAGUUCUACAAAAAUUAUUUAUUGGAAUUUGGAAUUGUUUAGUUUUGGCAAUUGGAUUUUGUUCAGCAAUUUCUUUAAAAAGUCUUUCCUUUUUAACAUAAACUUCUAGCUCUUCUUUUAAGAAAUUUAAUAUUCAUGAAACGUAAAAGCAGCCUUCUCAGUUUAAUAUUCGAGGUUAAGGACCACCACUAGGAGGAGCAUUCGAUUAUUGGAUUUUGAUAAACGAGUGAGGUAUUUGGAGGCAGCAGGCAAUAGCGUAUUUCUUUUGUCAACGUUUCAAGGAAAACACUGAUGACGGUACUUCCGUAUUAUUUUAUGGAACUGUUAUCUACAACUAGCACUUGACUAUAUGGUCUUUCUUAUUUAAUUCAUUUGUUUAGUUUAAUUUGUUAAAAUUGAAACAUAACAAAACGGGUACCAUACUUUGUACUUUUUCUCUCAAUACUUUGUAUGCAAAUUUGUCUUGUUUUGUUUAGAUGGAUGCAUGUGGUAGAAAAUGUUGUGUGAUCAUAAAAAUCUUUUUUGCAUGUGCGCUUUCAAGAGUUUAAAGUCUUGUAUGUAUGUGGCUGUGAAUGUAUGAUUGUGGUGACUGGUAAACUGAUGAUAUCGGCUGAGUAGCUAGAAUGCUAAAAAUAGUGGCUGUGAAUGUAUGAAAUUGAUUUUUUUCAAUCUUGCAACAUUAAUAAUAGCUCUACAAUGAGGGAGAUUUAGUGGAACCAAUUUGGUAUCAAAUUUUAGGAUGUGUAUUUUGUGGUAAUAAAUUUUUAGAUGCGUUGGAAUUGAAGUGAGUAGCUUAUGAAUUUUAGAAUGUGACCCUUAAUGAGUUUUCAAGAUCUGUUAAAAAAAGGGUAGUCAACUUUCUAAGUGUAUAUAACUCCCAAAUCGCAAUUGCUUUUCACUUGGAACCAAUUUGAGUAGUUUGGUUUAUGAGCCUAGUUGUCCCCUGUGAAAUUUCAAGUCAUUUGGUUCAAUAGAUAAAAUUGUAUGAUUUUUUAAAUAAAUUUUUUGGGCAAAAAUUAUGUAAAAAUUGAUAAAUUUGUACAUUCUUGUUUUAAUUGUAGUAUGAAAUUAAAAACACUAGUAAUUCACCAUAAACUUUUAGUUAUAUGAUAAUUUUUAUAUGAAUUUACUAAGUGAUUGCACUUUCUAGGAUUUUUAUUGUGGCACUCUAUUGUAGUAGCAACUUGUGAAAUUCCUAUAAAGUUUCAUAUUAACCUGAUUGAGUUGGAACCAAAUCUGGUGUAAGAAUGAGAUUCAUAGAGCAUCUUCACUAGAGUUUGGAACAUAAGAAGCACUCUGAAUUUUUAAAAAUUUUGAGAAGUAGGGUUGUACUUUGAAACAUUAUUGAUUUGAUUUGAAUUUAAGCUAGUAUUUUUUGGCUGGUGAUCUUUUCAGGUGUGUGGCACUUGUGUGAUACUUAUUAGAAGUUUCUCCAUGAGAAAGGAGCUGGAUGAACAUGAUGGAGUUUGUAAUUCCUUGUUCAUACAUGAUGGAACUUGUAUGAACAUGAUGGUGUGUGGCACUUGUGUGGCACUUAUUACAUUUUAGAGAUUUAUAAUUUCUUGUUUUUCUUAUUCAAUGUAUCUACAUUAGGGUUCUUCAAUGUGUCUUGUUAGCUUGUACUUUAAAGUUUAUAUGUUGAAGAUUUAUAAAACAAUCUUAGUUAAAUGAAAGAUAUUUGAACUAU